CCUACGGGGUGGCAGCAGUGGGGAAUAUUGGACAAUGGGCGAAAGCCUGAUCCAGCCAUGCCGCGUGUGUGAAGAAGGCCUUCGGGUUGUAAAGCACUUUCAGUGGGGAAGAAAGCCUUGGGGCUAAUACCCUCGAGGAAGGACAUCACCCACAGAAGAAGCACCGGCUAACUCCGUGCCAGCAGCCGCGGUAAUACGGAGGGUGCGAGCGUUAAUCGGAAUUACUGGGCGUAAAGCGCGCGUAGGCGGUCUGAUAAGCCGGUUGUGAAAGCCCCGGGCUCAACCUGGGAACGGCAUCCGGAACUGUCAGGCUAGAGUGCAGGAGAGGAAGGUAGAAUUCCCGGUGUAGCGGUGAAAUGCGUAGAGAUCGGGAGGAAUACCAGUGGCGAAGGCGGCCUUCUGGACUGACACUGACGCUGAGGUGCGAAAGCGUGGGUAGCAAACAGGAUUAGAUACCCCUGUAGUC
rnacentral:rRNA from 1 species